UACGAAGGGGCUAGCGUUGCUCGGAAUCACUGGGCGUAAAGGGUGCGUAGGCGGGUUUUAAGUCAGGGUGAAAUCCUGGAGCUCAACUCCGGAACUGCCCUUGAAACUGCAGUGCUAGAAUCCUGGAGAGGCGAGUGGAAUUCCGAGUGUAGAGGUGAAAUUCGUAGAUAUUCGGAAGAACACCAGUGGCGAAGGCGACUCGCUGGACAGGUAUUGACGCUGAGGUGGCGAAAAGCGUGGGGAGCAAACAGGG
rnacentral:rRNA from 1 species